rnacentral:tRNA from 1 species
AGGUCAGUAGUUCAAUUGGUAGAGCACUGGUCUCCAAAACCAGAUGUUGCAGGUUCGAGUCCUGCCUGGCCUG